GACGAACGCUGGCGGCGUGCUCAACACAUGCAAGUCGAACGGAAAGGCCCUGCUCUUGUGGGGUGCUCGAGUGGCGAACGGGUGUGUAACACGUGAGUAACCUGCCCUUGACUUUGGGAUAACUUCAGGAAACUGGGGCUAAUAGCGGAUAGGAGCUCCUGUUGCUUGGUGGGGGUUGGAAAGUUUCGGCGGUUGGGGAUGGACUCUCGGCUUAUCAGUUUGUGGGUGGGGGAGUGGUUUACCAAGGCUUUGACGGGUAGCUGGCAUGAGAGGGGGACCGGGUUCAUAGGUACUGAGAUACGGCCCAGACGACUACGGGAGGCAGCGGGGGGGAAUAUUGCACAGUGGGAGGAAGCCUGAGAAAGCAACGCCGCGUGCGGGAUGACGGCCUUCUAGUUGGAAACCGAUUUCGACUGUGACGCGGCGUGAGUGACGGUAAUGGGUAAAGAAGCACCGGCUAACUACGUG
rnacentral:rRNA from 1 species